ACUAGAAGUGGGACAAUGAACCCGCACCACAUGUUUGGGAUGGUGAUCUCAUCUCCUGACUUUAUUCGUUUCAUUGGUGUGAAGGUAGUGGAAGCGGAGCAGUAUGCCCCUGAUGUGGCUUGAAGGGAGCCUUGGAUGCCAGAUCAUGCCAGGUGGCAUGCUUUUUUCUGAUGGGGAUGGGUGUCAGGGGCUUACAUCCAUUGGCUGGGUGCAGCAGAAGGAUUCUUGUCUGUCAUGAGUGAGUACACGAUCCGGAUAAGCACCAAGCCGACCGACUAGCUCACACGCGACGACGAGUAGGUGAAAAGGAAGGUUAGGAAAACCAAG